AGGCCGUGACUAUAUUAACUCACAACUACCCUGUGAGGGAGCUAUAUGACUAUCCCCCAAUUUGCAUACGGGCAAACUGAGGCACAGAGCCUCUGAGGGGAAAUUUGCUCAGAAUCAUGCAGCAGGUGUGGGAUUCCAACCCGGGCUCCAUUGACCACUAAUCACUGGGCACUAUAAAAGCCUUGAAGCCAGAAGGUAGGGGAAAACAGGAAAUGAAUGAAGUAUUUCAGGUAACAAGAGGUACCAAGAAGAAAGUAAAACAGAGCAGGACCUUUCAGGCCCUUAUCUCCUCCCUGAGAAGGACAUGUUUGAGCUUCCAGCCUGAAGAGGAUGGGGGUGGUAGGGUGGUGGAGACUAGUUUAGAAAUCAAGAGUGGCAAGUGCAAAGGCCCUGGGGUGGGAACCAAUUUAACAUGAUGGAGGAAUCGCCUGAAAGCCAAUUUGGUUGGAGAGCUUUGAGGAUAGGAUACCUGAAAGAGACCACGUGCAUCUGGGUACUACCAACUCCACUACUUACCAACCAUGAGACUUUGAGCCAAGUGGAUGGAGCACUGUGCCUCAGUGGGGAUGAUGACAGGCCCCACCUUGUAGGGUCUGAAAUACAUGCGCUCACACUUUGGGAUUCCUUGAGCUGACAUGUGAGAAGUCCAGCUACCCUGAAGCCACUAUGCUGGUGAGAGCACAUGGAGAGACCACAGAGAAAUAAAGAGAAAGGCCUGAGGAGCCCCAGCUGUUUGGGACUUCCCAGCCCAGGCCUAGAUGUGAGUGAGUAAGCCUUCAGAUGUUUCCAGCUCCCUAUUCCACAGCUAUCCCAGCUGACACCAAGCGGGGUCACUGACCCUGGUCUGAACCCUGACCAAAUUGCAAAAUAACAAGUAAAAUAAAUGUUGCUAUUGUUUUAACUUGAUACCAAGUAGCAUAGAGACAAACUACACCCACGGAGCCCUGCCAGAUUGCAGAGGCAUGAGCGAAAUAAAUGUCACUAAAUUUGGGGAUAGUUUGUUUUGCUGCCAUAGUUCCUUGACCUGCUGCAGACCCACGAGACUCACCUCCCGGGUUCUUCCUCACCAAAACAACCCAGACUUCAUUGGGGCGACAGCAUACCCUUCCUGAGGCAAUGGGGCAUGAUUUGUUUCAGCCAAUCAUGACAAUCCUACUCCAGCUUUCCUAGCCCCCUUUGUCCUAGGGGUUCUGCCAAUGAAGCACAAAUAGAAGUCUGUACUGGGGAGGGGGGUGUUUCAGAGCAAUGCAUUCCUGAUAGAACAGGCCUUCCUGCUGUGAACACAGACCACCUCGCAUUAACGAAGGCCAAGACAACCGCAGUGUGGGAGCCCUGACGUCUAAGAACUACGAAAGCAACUCCAGCCACAGCCAGUUAUCUGGGAUUCCUGUAAGUUUAACAGAAGAGAUUCAGUGGACUUAUUCCAAGAGUUGGAGCCAUCUGGGACCUUCAAGCUGGCUUGACUCACUUGGUUUUGAUGGGUGGAGACAGAGGGAUUGGUAACAACCCUACACAAAUGUCCGUGGACGCAGCCAGGAGACUGUGUCAAAGGGGCUGAGGGUCGAUCCCUUUUGCUGCCACCCUUGGGGCAGAAUGACAUCCAAUCAAACCUCAGGUAACACAGGUUCAGUAAACAGGCUUUCCCUACAAGAAAUGAUGAUGAUUACGAUGAUGAUGAUGAUGUGAUGGUUCUGGUGGUGAUGAUAAUUGUGUAGAGGGGGGAGACAGGUUCAAUAAACAGGCUUUCCCUAAAAGAAAUGAUGAAGAUGAUGGUGAUGAUGAUGAUAUGAUGGUUCGGGUGGAGAUGAUAAUGGUGGUGAUGGGGAUGAUGAUGUUAAUGAUGAUGGUGGUGAUGCUGAUGAUAGCAGUGGGGAUGCAACAUCGACGAUGUUGAUGAUAGCGGUGGGGAUGCUGAAGUUGAUGACAAUGAUAGCGGUGGGGAUGAUAAAGUCAAUGAUGACGAAAAUGAUGGUAGGGAUGAUGAUGAUGAUGAUAAGGAUGGUGGUGGUGGUGGUGGUGGUGGAUGAGAGGAUGAUAAGAGCUGACACUUACGUAGCAGUGUGGCCGUAUGUGCCAGAC